rnacentral:rRNA from 1 species
AGGAUAAACGCUGGCGGCGUGCCUAACACAUGCAAGUCGAACGCCCUACGCAAGUAGGGAGUGGCGGACGGGUGAGGAACACGUGGGUUAUCUGCCUUUCGGUGAGGAAUACCAGCGAGAAAUCGCUGACAAUACCGCAUACGGUUCUUUCGAGAGAGAGAACGAAAGUCGCAAGACGCCGGGAGAUGAGCCUGCGCCCGAUUAGUUAGUUGGUGGGGUAAAAGCCUACCAAGACUGCAAUCGGUAGCUGGUCUGAGAGGACGAUCAGCCACACUGGGAUUGAGAACGGCCCAGACUCCUACGGGGGGCAGCAGUGAGGAAUUUUCGUCAAUGGGGGAAACCCUGAACGAGCAACGCCGCGUGCAGGAAGAAGGUUUUCGGAUCGUAAACUGCUUUUCUGUGGGAAGAGAACGGACGGUACCACGAGGAAGAAGCCCCGGCUAACUACGUGCCAGCAGCCGC